rnacentral:rRNA from 1 species
AGCCUAAUGAAUAAUUUAUAUUAGGUGAAUUCUGCUCAAUGAUGUUAAUKAAAUAGCCGCAGUACUCUGACUGUGCGAAGGUAGCAUAAUAAAUUGGCUUAUAAUUGAAGUCGGGAAUGAAAGAACAUAUGGAUAUAAGCUGUCUUAUAUAAAAUUAUAUUAAUUUCCUAAAUAAGUGAAAAUUCUUAUAGUAUAUUUUAAUAGACGAGAAGACCCUUGAAAUUUUUAUGAAAUAAUAUAUUUUAUAUUAAUAAUUUUUGUUGGGGCGACAGAUUUACAUAUAACUAAAUUUAUAUAUAUUAAUAUAAUACAAAUUUUAUUAAUUAAAAAUAAAUUACUCAAGGGAUAACAGCAUAAUUUAUUAAAAAGUUUGUGACCUCKAUGUUGGACUAGGAAAUUUUAAGUUUAGAAGAUUUAAAAUAAGGUUCUGUUCGAACUACUUUCUCCUACAUG